UACGGAGGGUGCAAGCGUUAUCCGGAUUCACUGGAUUUAAAGGGUGCGUAGGUGGGUUGGUAAGUCAGUGGUGAAAUCUCCGAGCUUAACUUGGAAACUGCCAUUGAUACUAUCAGUCUUGAAUAUUGUGGAGGUCAGCGGAAUAUGUCAUGUAGCGGUGAAAUGCUUAGAUAUGACAUAGAACACCAAUUGCGAAGGCAGCUGGCUACACAUAUAUUGACACUGAGGCACGAAAGCGUGGGGAUCAAACAGG
rnacentral:rRNA from 1 species